GAUGAACGCUGGCGGCGUGCCUAAUACAUGCAAGUCGAGCGAACGGACGAGAAGCUUGCUUCUCUGAUGUUAGCGGCGGACGGGUGAGUAACACGUGGAUAACCUACCUAUAAGACUGGGAUAACUUCGGGAAACCGGAGCUAAUACCGGAUGAUAUUUUGAACCGCAUGGUUCAAAAGUGAAAGACGGUCUUGCUGUCACUUAUAGAUGGAUCCGCGCUGCAUUAGCUAGUUGGUAAGGUAACGGCUUACCAAGGCAACGAUGCAUAGCCGACCUGAGAGUGUGAUCGGCCACACUGGAACUGAGACACGGUCCAGACUCCUACGGGAGGCAGCAGUAGGGAAUCUUCCGCAAUGGGCGAAAGCCUGACGGAGCAACGCCGCGUGAGUGAUGAAGGUCUUCGGAUCGUAAAACUCUGUUAUUAGGGAAGAACAUAUGUGUAAGUAACUGUGAACAUCUUGACGGUACCUAAUCAGAAAGCCACGGCUAACUACGUG
rnacentral:rRNA from 1 species